rnacentral:lncRNA from 1 species
GUGGGUCUUUGGGGUCCAUAGGCCCAGCAUUGGGCCAGAUACAAUGGAACAGCCUGAAAACACAAAAGCAUGAUAUGUUCCUCUCCAUGACUGAGGAGGUGCAGGGGUGGUGUCUGGAAGAGUAGGCAGAGGCUCCAAGAAGAACAGAUGGGAUGCCAUUGCAGGACCAGCCCCAGAGCUCAGCCUCCACCAGCCGGGGGCUGACAUCUGCCCAUCCCUGGGAGAGCUGGGAAAGGAAGCAGGGAAGCCCUGGGUAGUGGCCUCCAUCCACAGGGAGGCCAGCCCUCUGCUCUGCUUUCCCCCUGGAUCAGCCACCCUUCCUGCAGCCAAAUCACUCUGGGGCCAUGUGAGGGCAGGGGCAGCCUCCCCCUGGGAUUAUAGGGAUGACAGUGGACUUGUAUUUCUCUGUACAAAUGAAGGGAACUCUUCCCCAAUGGGCUUUGGACAUUCUCCUGGAAUAUCUGGCAGGUGUCAGAGGUCAGUAUUUCUUGUUGGAAGAGGCAAUGGAAGCACUUUUUGAGGUCUCCAAUUUAUAAAGCCUGUAAAAAUUCCUCCCCUCAAACCCAAGCCCAUUUGCAAAGAUGGGUGAAGAGCAGACUGUCACCUCACCCAGGGGCUCACUCUGGAGAGAGGCCACUGAACCAGCCACAGAGCUGCUGCUGCCACCCCUUUACACCGCCCCAGAAAGUCAUCCCACUCCUAUUGAGAUGGUCGAGCCCUGCCAGAGAGCAUCCUAGUGAUGGAGGGAGUGGGAGGAUGCCACGUCACACCUUUGCCCACUGUACACGGUAAGUCUACCGUGUUCAAAUUCAACCACAGCCCUUCCCUGGGCUGUGCUCUUUACAUCUCUAAGCCACUUCCUGUUUCCUUUUCUAGGUCAUAAGUCUCACUUGGUGUGAGUCACUCACUCAGGAGGCCCAGAGAACAAGGUUGGAGGAUGGGACUUGGAAGGCCAAGGCAUUGGUUCAGUCCUAAGAAAACAGUCCUAGGCUUUUAGGACUGCUGCAUGCUAGGCACCAAUGCCUACCUGGGAAAUCUUGACUCACCUGAUUUGCAUUUCUCUGCUCUGCUAAUGCCAAGCCCUCAGGUCCCAGGAGGCCUGGGACAAGUCUACUUUUUGAAGACUUUUUUGCAGAUCUCACUGGAAACCUUGCUUUGCCAAGGAGCCAGGCCUUCUAGCUAAUCAUCAGGCAACAGCUAGCUAUCUCACGGAAGAUAAAGACAAGAAGCCAUUCGAAAGCAUUAUCUUCUAGUAAUUGCAUUUCAAAACAAGGAGGAAACCACAGCUCAAAUGUGAGCCAGUGUUCAGCAACCUGAGUUCCCAUGAAGACAAGCAAGAAGAGACUUUACACAAUUCUAUGGUCUUCCCCUUUUGAUUUCUAAGCAGUUUACUCUUCCUGACUCUACCACCCAGGGAGGGAAAGGUUAUUCUGGUGGAACACUGAGUAGUAAAGACAAAGCCACUGAAUGAUUUGGUCAAAGCUGAUAUGCCAAGGCAGCAUCUGGCAGCAAUUCUUGCCUCCAAAUUCUGUUCUUGAACUUUUGUUUUGCGUAAAUGUCAGGUAUUUUCUAUACCUGAGAUGGCAUAGAAAAUGCAGAGCUCUAAUCUCCUUGGGCCUCUAAGUAAGCCUUGCAUUCGGGGAUGGGUUUGGGGCAGUGGGUUUGGGUAAGAUCCCUGUAACCCUGGCCCAUUUUACAGACACCUAUAUAUAACACCUUUUUUUUUUUUGGUGGGGUUGGGGGAUAAGUGAGAAAGGAAGAGAGAGGAAAGAAUAGGUAGAGAAAGGUGCAGAAACUCAGGCUAGGCUGGGAGACAGUUGAAAGGUGUGGCUGUACUGAAAGCAAUCAGGAAUUAGAUCCUGACUUUCCAGUAAGAUUAACUACAGACAGAAGCAGAUGCUGAGUCUACUUGAAGUAACAAUGUCAUGUGCAAAUCUGUGGAAAGCACGCAAGCGCGCGCGCACACACACACACACACACACACACACUCGUCUCAUCCUCUUAACUAUUGAGAGUGUAGGGAAAUACGAGUUUUCAUACCCUGCUGGUAGGAAUGUAAAUUGGAAACACUUUGCUGGUUGGGACUUGCUUAUGUUUGAAGCAGACAAUGGACAAUGCUGGCUCUGUGUUCACCAAACCCUUCUUGUGCAUACACAAAAAAGACUACAUUUCCCACCCUCCCUUGAGGUUAGCAGUGGUCAUGUUACUGAGUUCCAGACAGUUGGAAGGUGGGUAGAGAAGUGAUGUGAGUCACUUCCAGGCCUGGCCUUAAAACCAGCUUAGAAUCUUCACACUCUUUCUCCCUUUACAUAACAACUGAAAUCAGACGAUCCAGUGGAGCAUUCCAGGGCUUUGGCAAAUGGGAAGCCAUUCUAUGACCAAUCCCUGGUUCCAGACAGAUGUGCAGAGCACUCUCCCAUCCCAACCAGGUGACCUUCAUUUGAGCUAUAAUAGAGAAAUAAGUCUUUAUUAUGUUAAACUACUGAGGUCUGGAGGUUUUUAUUAUAACAUUUAGACUAUCCUGAAUGGUGUAGUAUCACAAUUCUUAAAAAUGUCAUAAGUUUUGCCCUAGCAAUAAACAUUCUUUGAAACAUACUCUAAGAAAAUAAUUAAGGGUACUCACUACUGUAUUGAUUAUAACAGCAAAAGUAAAUAAAUAAAUAAAUAAACAAAAAUCCAACAACAUGAAUUUCAAAUCAUAGAAGAUUAAUUAAAUUAAAUAAUACAGCCCUGUACAGGAAUAUUAUUCAGACAUUUUAAUAUCACUGAAAUGUAUUUAUUGACAUGUCAUGCUAUAGUAUUACUUGAAAAAGGGCAAGUAUCAAAACAGCUUAGAGAGUAUGAACCUAUAUUUAUUUAUGUAUGUCAAUAUAUGAAUAGAAAAAGUCUCAAUCUAUACCAGAAACAGGGAUUAUUUCUAUUAAUAGGAUUAUAGGUGGC